rnacentral:rRNA from 1 species
GACGAGGGGUCCAAGCGUUGUUCGGAAUCAUUGGGCGUAAAGCGGGUGUAGGUGGCUUUGUAAGUCAGGAGUGAAAUCCCCGAGCUUAACUCGGGAAGUGCUUUUGAAACUGCAGAGCUUGAAUGUGGGAGAGGAUCGUGGAAUUCCAGGUGUAGUGGUGAAAUGCGUAGAUAUCGGGAGGAACACCAGUGGCGAAGGCGGCUUUCUGGUCUGCUCUUGACGCUGAGGCGCGAAAGCUAGGGUAGCAAACGGG